rnacentral:rRNA from 1 species
GAUGAACGCUGGCGGCGUGCCCUAUACAUGCAAGUCGAACGUCCGCAAGGACGUGGCGAACGGGUGAGUAACGCGUGGGAACAUACCCAAAGGUACGGAAUAGCCUCGGGAAACUGGGAGUAAUACCGUAUGUGGUCGAGAGACGAAAGAUUUAUCGCCAAAGGAUUGGCCCGCGUCGGAUUAGGUAGUUGGUGGGGUAAUGGCCUACCAAGCCGACGAUCCAUAGCUGGUUUGAGAGGAUGAUCAGCCACACUGGGACUGAGACACGGCCCAGACUCCUACGGGAGGCAGCAGUGGGGAAUCUUAGACAAUGGGGAAACCCUGAUCUAGCCAUGCCGCGUGAUCGAUGAAGGCCUUAGGGUUGUAAAGAUCUUUCAGGUGGGAAGAUAAUGACUGUACCACCAGAAGAAGCCCCGGCUAACUCCGUGCCAGCCGCCGCAGUAA